GUGCCAGCAGCCGCGGUAAUACGUAGGUGGCAAGCGUUGUCCGGAUUUAUUGGGCGUAAAGCGCGCGCAGGCGGUUCGUUAAGUCCGAGGUGAAAUCUCCUGGCUCAACUGGGAGGGGUCUUCGGAUACUGGCGGACUUGAGGAGUACAGAGGUGAGUGGAAUUCUGGGUGUAGUGGUGAAAUGCGUAGAUAUCCAGAGGAACACCAGCGGCGAAGGCGGCUCACUGGGUACCACCUGACGCUGAGGCGCGAAAGCGUGGGGAGCGAACCGGAUUAGAUACCCCCGUAGUCC
rnacentral:rRNA from 1 species